rfam:Bacillus hemicellulosilyticus JCM 9152 DNA, contig:contig_1.
UUUUAUAUCCCACUAUGUUCAUAUAAAAC